GCUGGCGGCGUGCCUAAUACAUGCAAGUCGAGCGAACGGACGAGAAGCUUGCUUCUCUGAUGUUAGCGGCGGACGGGUGAGUAACACGUGGAUAACCUACCUAUAAGACUGGGAUAACUUCGGGAAACCGUAGCUAAUACCGGAUAAUAUUUUGAACCGCAUGGUUCAAAAGUGAAAGACGGUCUUGCUGUCACUUAUAGAUGGAUCCGCGCUGCAUUAGCUAGUUGGUAAGGUAACGGCUUACCAAGGCAACGAUGCAUA
rnacentral:rRNA from 1 species